rnacentral:rRNA from 1 species
AGGAUGAACGCUGGCGGCGUGCUUAACACAUGCAAGUCAUGGGGGCCCGAGGCGCAAGCCUUGGGCAACCGGCGAACGGGUGCGUAACACGUGAGCAACCUACCCAGGUGUGGGGGAUAGCCGUCCCAACGGACGGGUAAUACCGCAUACGCUCAACACGAGGCAUUUCGAGUUGAGGAAACCUUCGGGGCACCAUGAGGGGCUCGCGCCUAUCAGCUAGUUGCGAGGUAACGGCUCACCAGGCUACGACGGUAGCUGGUCUGAGAGGAUGACCAGCCACAUGGACUGAGAAACGGCCCAGACUCCUACGGGAGGCAGCGAGUGGGGAAUCGUUGCGCAAGUGGCUAACGGCGUGACGCGAGCGACGCCGCGUGA